rnacentral:rRNA from 1 species
CCUACGGGAGGCAGCAGUGGGGAAUAUUGGGCAAUGGGCGAAAGCCUGACCCAGCAACGCCGCGUGAAGGAAGAAGGCUUUCGGGUUGUAAACUUCUUUUGACAGGGAAGAGCAGAAGACGGUACCUGUCGAAUAAGCCACGGCUAACUACGUGCCAGCAGCCGCGGUAAUACGGAGGUGGCAAGCGUUGUCCGGAUUUACUGGGUGGAAAGGGCGGGUAGCCGGGCUGACAAGUCAGAUGUGAAAUCCGGGGGCUCAACCCCCGAACUGCAUUUGAAACUGUUGGUCUUGAGUAUCGGAGCGGCAGGCGGCAUUCCUCGUGUAGCGGUGAAAUGCGUAGAUAUUAGGAGGAACACCAGUGGCGCAGGCGGCCUGCUGGACGACAACUGACGGUGAGGCGCGAAAGCGUGGGGAGCAAACAGGAUUAGAUACCCGGGUAGUC